GCAUAUAUUAUUUAGACAUGCACAAGGUGAAGUAAGUAGCACCUGAAGUAGUCAAGAAAAAGGCGACUAGUGUGCCAUAUUAUAGUAAGAUACAACACAAUCAUAUAGCAGUAGCAAUUUCAUUCAUCUCUUUACAAUACUUCCCCCAUUUUACGAAAGUAACUGUGGCGUGUAAUUACAUUAAAGGCUAUUAUGCAGCUUCAGCAAAACCCACUUGGGAUUUACCAUAGUCAAAGACAGUGUGAUACGGCCCCAUGAAUACAUCUCCAAGAAUCCAAAGAGGACCGCGAGGUGGUGGCACAUCCAGAGCAGCAAAUCCACUGACACAAAUUGUAGCAACCCCUUCUCCAGUUUUAAGAAUAUACUGUUCUGGAGUGAGCACAAAGGCUGUAUCUUUGAUAGUGAAUGUAAUAUCUGGCAUGGAUGAGAUGCGGUUACAGUCAAUCGCAGAUUCUCCCAUUGGACUUGGUAUUUUCUCACAAAGCUGAUUCACAUACUCUAACACUUUCUCUUUUGUCUGCUCUUGUUUGAGCUGGUUUUGCAUCCAAACAACUGCCAUCUCACAGGCAGUGCACAGUGGUGCUUCACCAACAGAACUUCCUUCAGUUUCCCUUUCAACUACAGUUCUGAUAUUAGAGCUCACAUGCUGAGAUCCAUCAAGAAAGCAUAAACCUGCUUGUGAACAAACUUGAUCAGGUCUUAUCCCUGAUACUAGUAAGUCCCAGAUCAUCUCUCCAUACUGUGAAACAAUAGUUUUACAUUCCAUGCUAACUAUUCCUUCUGCUCCAAUGGCAUGGUUGAUUUGUGUCACGAUGGUUGUUGGACCAGCAAGCAGUGAUGUUCCAGAAUCCACAAUAGCAGCACAACCACCUGCACAAUAACCAGUUGAUGUGUUCCCGAUAAGGAAAUCUCCCAUAUUAAACUGCCAGUAGCCCUUCUGAGUCAACGGAACACAAGUAUGAUUACCCUUGAAGUGCUUUGGAUCAACUCCACCAAAAACAAGUUCACCUCCCUCUUUUGCAUUUGCAUCACGGUUAAACCAGAAAGAGAAGACGGGUUCUUUGACAAGACCUUGCCCCACCAUAUUGUACCAGACAGGUGUAGUAUUUCCAACAGAAAUUUCCUGGAAACCAAGGCCUAGUAUACCAUCAAACUUUGCAACAAUAAAUGUAAUACUAGGUUCUCGUGUCGCCUCAAUAAACACCUGAUCUUUAACUACAAGAUCACCAACUUGAACAUUGUCCAUACUGAAAUGGCCAGAAAUAGAUCCAGUUCCAUAACGGAUUGAACAAGAUUCCCCAUCUCUUGUAUAUGUACUGGAUUUGCUUGCCUGGUACUUAGAGUGGAUCCAGCAUGCAAUAGAGAAAUAGCAUUUCGAUGAUGGAACCCAGAGGUUAGAACUCCCAGUAUCAAAGAUAACUUUGAAUUUCUGUGGAGGUGAACCAAUACCAAUCUCUCCAUAGUAUUGGGCAUCCAAGUAGUUCUUUAAGGGGACUUUAUAGAUAUCUGAGUCACUCGAUUUCUUUUCAAUGCCAUUCACAUGCUUCCCAUAUCUAUCUUGUAGUUUGGCUACUCUUGCAGCUUUUAUGCUAUCAACAUCCAAGCGGUGCUUCUUCAAACCAAUUCUAAACAAAUCACCAGAGGAAGCAGGAAGUGCAGAGCAAGCAAUGGCCCAUAAAAGAAGAGCAGCACAUAGAUGCUUCUUAUCCAUGUCUGGAGAAGUUUUUGGAUAGAAAGCAGAGAAACAACAAGAAGUAAGGAAGCGAGUGUAAACAGAUACUAUUAAAUAGCCAAUAGGACAGUUUAAAG
rnacentral:misc_RNA from 1 species